CAAUAAUUCAAGUGAAUUUUAGAAAGCCGAUUUUUAUAGAAAGGUGGUGGCGAAACAACGACGCAGGAGUUCAGGUUCUGCAAGGACGACGCGAGUUCUGUGGAAGCUGCUGCUGCCAGCAACGGCCGCAACCCCCCCCCCCGGGGCGGCUUUCCUCAACGUCGAAAUCAGCCAAGUUUCAGAUUACUUGUGUAUGAUGAUGUUUAGCUUUUGAAUUGGAAUUGUGCUGCGCAUGCUGCAUUUGAUUUUUGUUUAAAUAUUUGAUCUAAUUUCUGUUUGAGUUUGGUUUCCUUUGUUGGAUGGGGUUAUUGUUCUUAGACUUAAUUGUAGCAAUGGUGACUAAACUUUAUAUUAGUUUAAUUUUAGUCUUUGAACUUUACCUUUAGUUUUUAGUCCUCGAAUUGUUAAUCAUUUUCACCAACACCGUCCAUUUUAAAUUUAGGUGCAUAUUAAGAACUUCAUCCCACAUCACCAAAUAUAAGAAAUGAGAGGAAAAAAAACCCCUAAAAAAUUCAGAUAUUUUUGUGUAAGAAAAUUGAAUGUAUAGGAAUUUUUUUUUUAAUGGUUCAAUAUGUGAUUUGUUAGUUGUUUAAAUUCAGCCACAGUUCGAUCUCUUACCAACUUUUUGCUUCUUGUAUUGUUUUAUGAAGUUUUGAGUUGAAAUUGAUUCUGCAUAUAUCUUGUGCAAACUGAUUUUGAAUCUACUUUUUUUGCAAAAUCUCUUUCACAUUUUUUGCAAGAUCAAUUUUAGUAGUUACUUCAUGAUUAGUUUCAUAUUAUUUUUUCAAAUUCUCUAUUUAAAUUCUUUAGUUCACUGAUGCAAUUUCAGUUUCAUUGAUUCAAGAUUACUAAUUAUUGUUCUAUUUUUAUGAGGAUGUGGCCGAGAGAUCGAACUGCUGCUCCUACUAAAAAACAGAAAACAUCUCCAAUUGCUGCUCCUACUAAAAAACGUGAAAGAUGAACAAAAAGUGAGAAGCGCCGGACGUCUGAUGAAAACUAUGCUCAGAUGAAAAUGAAUUUGAUGGCUUUUGGAGAAAAAAAACAUAGAAGAACUCAAGACAAAGUUUCAGAAAAAUUUCGAAGUGUUGAAGAUUUUAUAUGCUUCACCAUAAGGCAUAUGAAAAUGGUGAAAUACAAAUCUGUAACUCAAUAGCGAGCAUCAAUCAAUACAACUGGGCAAAACUACCUUGGAAGUUCAGCGGCAAAACUACCUUGGAGUUUUGCUAAAAUCUGUAACUCAAUAGCGAGCAUCAAUCAAUACAACUGGGCAAAAGAAAUAGCAAGGUACUUAGCGGAAGGAAUUGACAGAGCCCAAAGCAGGAAAAAGGAUAAACAACCAACUGUUAGUGGUUCUGUUGUCCUUUUAAUGGUAGGAAAGGAGAAAAGCCUACCAACAGCAAUUAAGUGGGAUUUGUCAGCUCUCCAUAAUAAAAUCCAUAAAAAUACAAAUGAAAAGUUGGAGAUGGACAAUGCAAAGGCAAUUGAUGUCUUAAACAAAUGUCAAAUAAUGACGAUGAUGAUUAUGUCGAUCCUCUACCUGCACUGAAAAGGAGAAAAUCUGAGAAGAAAGUCACACAAAAAGAAUCAAAGCCAAGAAAGUGAAAACAACAAAGCAGUUGAUGUUGGAAAAAGUAGAACAAGUUGAUAGGGAACAUGUAGAAGAUAAUCAGGUUAUAUUUGUUAGUGUAAACUGAUUCUGCUGAACUUAUCCUGCAUAUGUAAAAUUUGUACCAAGUAAUAAGCAAAAUCGUAACGAAACUUACCUUCAAAUAAUGAAACUCAAGCCAAAAUCUAAAUAUAAACCAUCAAUAACAGAAAAGGAAGAAGAAAGAACAAAAAGAAAACGAAAGGAAAUUGAAUGAUUUCAAAUAGGAACGACUCAAUCUGAAGCUAAGAUUCCCCGUCAGUCACACUUUCAAACAGAUGGAAGGUUAAUUUCGUAACUUUAACUUCUAAAACCGGAAAAAACGU